rnacentral:rRNA from 1 species
UACGUAGGGGGCAAGCGUUGUCCGGAAUCAUUGGGCGUAAAGCGCGCGUAGGCGGCCCUGUAAGUCCGUUGUGAAAGUCAAAGGCUCAACCUUUGAAAGCCGAUGGAUACUGCAGGGCUAGAGUCCGGAAGAGGCGAGUGGAAUUCCUGGUGUAGCGGUGGAAUGCGCAGAUAUCAGGAGGAACACCAAUAGCGAAGGCAGCUCGCUGGGACGGUACUGACGCUAAGGCGCGAAAGCGUGGGGAG